UACGUAGGGUGCGAGCGUUAAUCGGAUUUACUGGGCGUAAAGCGCACGUAGGCGGUUUUGUAAGUCUGGGGUCAAAGGCGACAGCUCAACUGUCGUAAGGCCUUAGAUACUAUAGAACUGGAGUGCCAGAGAGGAUGGCGGAAUUCCCGGUGUAGCGGUGAAAUGCGUAGAUAUCGGGAGGAACGCCAGUGGCGAAGGCGGCUUCCUGGCCCGCGACUGACGCUCAUGUGCGAAAGCCAGGGGAGCGAACCGG
rnacentral:rRNA from 1 species